rnacentral:lncRNA from 1 species
AUAUUGGUUUUUAUCUGGAAGCUUUAUAGGAUAUCUUGUUUAUAAUGAAAAUUAAUUUCUUUAAACUAUGACGUUGAAUUGAUUCGGAGUUGAAUUGGACUAAAACAACAGCAUUUGACCCGUUAAGCUAAUAGUGCUAUUUAUAGAGAGAUAUUCUUUUGGCCAAUAAUUUCUAGCUGAUUUUUAGGAAUUUACUUUUCUUCGUUUAAAUUUGUGCGGAAAGUAAAUUGAACUUGCGAAAGAAUGAUGGCGUGAGUGUUGAAAACCU